ACGCUGGCGGCAGGCCUAACACAUGCAAGUCGAGCGGUAGAGAGAAGCUUGCUUCUCUUGAGAGCGGCGGACGGGUGAGUAAUGCCUAGGAAUCUGCCUGGUAGUGGGGGAUAACGUCCGGAAACGGACGCUAAUACCGCAUACGUCCUACGGGAGAAAGCAGGGGACCUUCGGGCCUUGCGCUAUCAGAUGAGCCUAGGUCGGAUUAGCUAGUUGGUGGGGUAAUGGCUCACCAAGGCGACGACCCGUAACUGGUCUGAGAGGAUGAUCAGUCACACUGGAACUGAGACACGGUCCAGACUCCUACGGGAGGCAGCAGUGGGGAAUAUUGGACAAUGGGCGAAAGCCUGAUCCAGCCAUGCCGCGUGUGUGAAGAAGGUCUUCGGAUUGUAAAGCACUUUAAGUUGGGAGGAAGGGCAGUAAAUUAAUACUUUGCUGUUUUGACGUUACCGACAGAAUAAGCACCGGCUAACUCUGUGCCAGCAGCCGCGGUAAUACAGAGGGUGCAAGCGUUAAUCGGAAUUACUGGGCGUAAAGCGCGCGUAGGUGAUUCGUUAAGUUGGAUGUGAAAUCCCCGGGCUCAACCUGGGAACUGCAUUCAAAACUGACGAGCUAGAGUAUGGUAGAGGGUGGUGGAAUUUCCUGUGUAGCGGUGAAAUGCGUAGAUAUAGGAAGGAACACCAGUGGCGAAGGCGACCACCUGGACUGAUACUGACACUGAGGUGCGAAAGCGUGGGGAGCAAAC
rnacentral:rRNA from 1 species